ensembl:snRNA
AUGUGGUAUGAAAGGAGAGAAGGUUAGCACUUCCCUUGACAAGGAUGGAAGAGGCCCUGGCACCUAACAACAUACACACAAUUAAGGCAACACCGCCUACUUUGUGGCAUCUAACCCGUUUUUGUU